rnacentral:rRNA from 1 species
GACGAACGCUGGCGGCGUGCUUAACACAUGCAAGUCGAACGGAAAGGCCCUGCUUUUGUGGGGUGCUCGAGUGGCGAACGGGUGAGUAACACGUGAGUAACCUGCCCUUGACUUUGGGAUAACUUCAGGAAACUGGGGCUAAUACCGGAUAGGAGCUCCUGCUGCAUGGUGGGGGUUGGAAAGUUUCGGCGGUUGGGGAUGGACUCGCGGCUUAUCAGCUUGUUGGUGGGGUAGUGGCUUACCAAGGCUUUGACGGGUAGCCGGCCUGAGAGGGUGACCGGCCACAUUGGGACUGAGAUACGGCCCAGACUCCUACGGGAGGCAGCAGUGGGGAAUAUUGCAGAAUGGGCGGAAGCCUGAUGCAGCAACGCCGCGUGCGGGAUGACGGCCUUCGGGUUGUAAACCGCUUUCGCCUGUGGCGAAGCGUGAGUGACGGUAAUGGGUAAAGAAGCAACGGCUAACUACGUG